AGAUUGAACGCUGGCGGCAUGCUUUACACAUGCAAGUCGAACGGUAACAGGCCGCAAGGUGCUGACGAGUGGCGAACGGGUGAGUAAUGCAUCGGAACGUGCCCAGUCGUGGGGGAUAACGCAGCGAAAGCUGUGCUAAUACCGCAUACGAUCUAUGGAUGAAAGCGGGGGACCGAAAGGCCUCGCGCGAUUGGAGCGGCCGAUGUCAGAUUAGCUAGUUGGUGGGUAAAGCCCACAAGGCGACGAUCUGUAGCUGGUCUGAGAGGACGACCAGCCACACGUGGAACUGGAAGACACGGUCCAAGACGUCCGUACGGGAGGCAGCGAGUGGGGUAAUUUGGACAAUGGGCGCAAGCCUGAUCCAGCAAUCGCCGCGUGACGAGGAAGGUAGUCCGUUGGUUAGUAACUGUAC
rnacentral:rRNA from 1 species